UACGUAGGGAGCAAGCGUUGUCCGGAAUCAUUGGGCGUAAAGCGCGCGUAGGCGGCCCGGUAAGUCCGUUGUGAAAGUCAAAGGCUCAACCUUUGAAAGCCGAUGGAUACUGCCGGGCUAGAGUCCGGAAGAGGCGAGUGGAAUUCCUGGUGUAGCGGUGGAAUGCGCAGAUAUCAGGAGGAACACCCAUAGCGAAGGCAGCUCGCUGGGACGGUACUGACGCUGAGGCACGAAAGCGUGGGGAGCAAACAG
rnacentral:rRNA from 1 species